rnacentral:lncRNA from 1 species
GGGGGGGGGGCUUGGAUGAAAUUUGAAAAAAGGCAAGACAGGCUUUUGAACAAACAAAGGCAGGAUCAGUAAUUUGGCAUAACAAGCAGGAUGACAAUUUAUGAAAACAAUUUCAGUAAACUAAUGAAAAUUGCAGGUCCGUAAAAGAAUGAAAAAUAAAAAAUGCAGGACAAUAAUGAUGAUUACAACUAUAAAAAAAUGCAGGACAAAAUUUUAAAUCCUAGCCCUCCCC